rnacentral:lncRNA from 1 species
ACCGGGAUCACAUCAGACCUGGAGAGGGAGCUGGCCGUCGACGUUGUCGCCGGAGAGGAGUCCUCAAAUGCUAGAGCAAAACCCAACAUUGAGGAAGGAGCAAAGGACCUGGAUGCAAGUACAAGAAGGUCGGUUAGAAACAAGAGAGUGCCAAUUAAAUUCAAGGACUACGUUGCAAAUUUUCCAAUUUGAGUAUUGUAAUAAUUAGUAUAAAAUCCAAACCUAGGUUAUGAGACGG